CAGGUGGCUUCCCCUGCUGGAGGAUCUUGAUACAUCUGGCUAGUUGUUGUGGGAUUCGGCUGUGGUGGCAUGGCUGUACCACCAAAUGUGCCGGGCCACGGAGCAUGGUCAGCGCAACUUGGGAGGAUGCGUCAGCUUGAUGCUUUCUUGGGCCUACCUCCGUCUGUUAGUACGGCCCGAUGGCUUUCAUGCUCGUCGCUUUUCCCUGGUCGAGAGGUGGGUUCAGUAUUGACCGGACAAUGCCACAGGCAAGAGCAGGCUAAGGCAGUACAGGCGUACGCUGAAUGGGAUUGGGAUGCUAAAUAUUGAGUGGACCCCAUAUGCUGACCCACAGCUGGUUGGGCUUGUUCCACAGGCGAUAGCAGAGGCGGAUGCCUCUGCGGCGGUUGUAUGUCCACUAUUUUGCUUCUCUAUCGUCGAGUGGCAUCAGGUGGACCGGGUAGUACGUCAAUUUGGUGGCCUGCAGCACAUUCCGACUAGGCCACUGAACAUUGACAACAUGCACAGGUUGGAUGUGAGAUUUGGUCGUGGCAAGUGGUUCCCGCAGCUGCUUGGUGGCUGGCAUGAGAUGUGGGAUGCUCGGGCCGACCAUCGUUUGCCGAUAUAUCAUCAUAUAGACCUGCGUCCGUCCCUCCAGUAUAUGACAUGGUACCUACAGUGGGCAUGAUAAACCCCAAUUUUGUGGUUUAUCUUGUGCUUAAUCUGGGGAAUUUUAUCAACUUAUCUCACAUUUAUUCAAUGAAAUUGCAUGGUUUUGUGAAUCUCUCCUAAUUUGUGCUUAAGUGUGAAAACAUGCUUUUUAGGCCUUAAAAUAGCUAAAUUUAAUUCACUUUAAUUCCAUUCGAUGUCUUGAUAUAUUUGUCGAGCGAUUUCAGAUUCAAAUGCAAGUAUUGGAUGGAAGAAGUGAGGAGAAAAGCAUGCAAAGUGGAGAAUUCAUGAAGAAAUGAGCAUUUGGAGAAUUGAAUGCCACGCACACGUGUCACCCACGCGUACACGUUAGAAGAGAUUUCCAAGCCACGCGCACGCAUCACCCACGUGUACGUGUGAGGAGGAAUUUUGGCCAGUUAUGCGCACGCAUCACCCACGCGCACGCGUGACACUAAUCAUGUGACCUCAUUAAAGUGAAUUCGCUGAGGGCGAUUUCUUAGCUUCCCAGGCCCAAAUUCAACUCAUUCCUGAGGCUAUUUGAUGUAGAAUUCAAGAUUGGACAAAGGGGUAGCAAUUACUUUUAGGUUAGCAUCAUGUAGGUUAGUUUUCUAGAGAGAGAAGCUCUCCUUUCUCUCUAGAAUUAGGGUUUUUAGGUUAAUUGCAUCUUAGA